CUACACCGAAGCACAAAACAAAGUAGGCAAAUCGCUCGAAACAUCUGCCUUAGAAUCUGAGCUGUCAGACUCAGAUUCAGCAAGCCCCGCCCAAGGCUCACCACUUUCUGGUAGUACAGAUCAGGCGACUAUGUCAUUGUCCCAGCCCGCUGUGGAAAGUCAAUGUCCUUCAGCACUUGGCUUGCAUAGCCAACGCGGUCAUACUCGCAUCUCUGGGCCCCUGCUUUCAUUGCCAUUGCCGCCAACGACAUUGCCAAGAGCUGUCCAGAAAACAGCUGAGCCUGCACCUGAUGAUAGACAUGGACACAUGCGGAAAGUAUACAAAGCUCUUGUGGAGCUCAAAGAAGACUUCAGAAAUCUCAGGGACAUCAUACUUAACAUUGAGGCAACAGUGAAAGCAACAUCAGCUAUUGAGAGCCAGUCCUUUGUGCUUCCGUCUCUGCCGCUUCAGUCUCAGAAUGAUUUAGCAGAACUUGAAGCUCGUCUGCUUGACCCACACUACCGACAUCAGUUUGUAAGCAUGUCUCUUGUCCUUACACUGAGCAACGUAUAAACAUGCUGCUAAC